rnacentral:rRNA from 1 species
AAGGAUCAUUAAAGAUUAUGAAUGAGUAGAUUACUGGGGGAAUCGCUGAAUAUGGCCUGCGCUUAAUUGCGCGGCUAAUUCUUGAUUUUCUGCUAUCAGUUUUCCUUCUCUCAUCCUAAACACAAUGGAGUUUUUUCUCUAUGAACUACUUCCCUGGAGAGCUCGUCUCUCCAGUGGACAUAAACACAAACAACAUUUUGCAUUAUGAAAAACUAUUUAUCAAGAAAUUUAAUAUCCAAAACUUUCAACAACGGAUCUCUUGGUUCUCGCAUCGAUGAAGAACGCAGCGAAUUGCGAUAUGUAUUGUGAAUUGCAGAUUUUCGUGAAUCAUCAAAUCUUUGAACGCACAUUGCGCCCUCUGGUAUUCCAGGGGGCAUGCCUGUUUGAGCGUCAUUUCUCUCUCAAACCUUUGGGUUUGGUAGUGAGUGAUACUCGUUUUUCGGGUUAACUUGAAAGUGGCUAGCCGUUGCCUUCUGCGUGAGCAGGGCUGCGUGUCAAGUCUAUGGACUCGACUCUUGCACAUCUACGUCUUAGGUUUGCGCCAAUUCGUGGUAAGCUAGGGUCAAUGAGCUUAUAGGUGUUAUAAAGACUCGCUGGUGUUUGUCUCCUUGAGGCAUACGGCUUAAUCAAAACUCUCAAAGUUUGACCUCAAAUCAGGUAGGAAUACCCGCUGAACUUAA